GCUCCCGUGGUGAAAUGGAUAUCACGACGCGCUUCGGACGCGUUAUUGUGGGUUCGAGUCCUGCCGGGAGCGCAA
rnacentral:tRNA from 3 species